rnacentral:rRNA from 1 species
GACAGAGGGGGCAAGCGUUGCUCGGAUUUACUGGGCGUAAAGGGCGCGUAGGCGGCCACCGCAAGUCGGUUGUGAAAUCUCCGGGCUUAACCCGGAAAGGUCAACCGAUACUGCGGGGCUAGAGUGCAGAAGGGGCAACUGGAAUUCUCGGUGUAGCGGUGAAAUGCGUAGAUAUCGGGAGGAACACCAGUGGCGAAGGCGACUACCUGGCCCACUCUUGACGCUGAGGCGCGAAAGCUAGGGGAGCAAACGGG